rfam:Loxodonta africana unplaced genomic scaffold scaffold_65, whole genome shotgun sequence.
ACCAAGGCUCCACUAGGAGCCAUCCUAAUGGGUAUGAAUUAGUUUU